rnacentral:tRNA from 1 species
UGGGUUGUAGUUAAAUUUAACAAUUAAUUUGCAUUUAAUAAAUAUUGAAAUAAUUCAAUCUUCCUAA